AGAGUUUGAUCAUGGCUCAGAUUGAACGCUGGCAGCAUGCUUAAUACAUGCAAGUCGAACGGUAACAGGUCCUUCGGGAUGCUGACGAGUGGCGGACGGGUGAGUAAUGCAUAGGAAUCUGCCCAGUAGUAGGGGACAACCUGAGGAAACUCAGGCUAAUACCGUAUAAGUCCUACGGGAGAAAGGAGGCCUCUUCUUGAAGGCUCUCGCUAUUGGAUGAGCCUAUGUCGGAUUAGCUUGUUGGUGGGGUAACGGCCUACCAAGGCGACGAUCCGUAGCUGGUCUGAGAGGACGAUCAGCCACACUGGGACUGAGACACGGCCCAGACUCCUACGGGAGGCAGCAGUAGGGAAUAUUGGACAAUGGGCGAAAGCCUGAUCCAGCAAUGCCGCGUGUGUGAAGAAGGCCUGCGGGUUGUAAAGCACUUUCAGUUGGGAAGAAAAUCUUUAGGUUAAUAUCCUAAAGUCUUGACGUUACCAACAGAAGAAGCACCGGCUAACUCUGUGCCAGCAGCCGCGGUAAUACAGAGGGUGCGAGCGUUAAUCGGAAUUACUGGGCGUAAAGCGUGCGUAGGCGGUUAAGUCAGUCGGAUGUGAAAGCCCAAGGCUUAACCUUGGAACGGCAUUCGAUACUGCUUAGCUAGAGUACAGUAGAGGGAAGC
rnacentral:rRNA from 1 species